rnacentral:rRNA from 1 species
CUAUGGGUCGCAGCAGUGAGGAAUAUUGCACAAUGGGGGGAACCCUGAUGCAGCAACGCCGCGUGGAGGAUGACGCAUUUCGGUGUGUAAACUCCUUUUAUAUGUCAAGAAAAUGACGGUAGCAUAUGAAUAAGCACCGGCUAACUCCGUGCCAGCAGCCGCGGUAAUACGGAGGGUGCAAGCGUUACUCGGAAUCACUGGGCGUAAAGGACGCGUAGGCGGGUUGGAAAGUCAGGUAUGAAAUCCUACAGCUUAACUGUAGAACUGCACUUGAAACUUCUAAUCUAGAGUAUGGGAGGGGGAGAUGGAAUUAGUGGUGUAGGGGUAAAAUCCGUAGAUAUCACUAGGAAUACCUAAAGCGAAGGCGAUCUCCUGGAACAUUACUGACGCUAAGGCGUGAAAGCGUGGGGAGCAAACAGGAUUAGAUACCCCCGUAGUC